rnacentral:misc_RNA from 1 species
UUUAUUUUGAUGACAUUGUCAUAAAAGGUGAUAAUCUUGACGGUAUUUCUCAACUCAAGCAACAUCUCACCAAUCAUUUCCAGACCAAGGACUUGGAAAAAAUGAAAUAUUUUUUGGGCAUUGUGGUAGCACAAUCUAGUACUAGUUUUGCCAUUUCACAGAUUGGGUUGAGGGGGAGUUACUAAAGACCCUGGUCAGUAUCGAAGACUUGUUGGCAAGCUCAACUACCUCACAAUCACAUGUCCAGACAUCUCAUUUGCUGUAAAUGGGGUUAGUCAAUUUCUUCAAGCUUUUUGCGAUAGUCAUUGAAAUGCAGUAAUCCAUGUUCUUAGGUAUAUUGAAGGGGCUCUGGGAUAAGGUCUGUUGUAUAAAGACAUAGGGCAUACAAAGAUUGUUGGAUACUUCAAUGCAUAUUGGGCAAUAUCUGUCUCAGACAAAUUAUCUACUUCAGGGUAUUGUAUCCUUAUUUGGGAAAGUCUAAUAUCCUAGAAAAGUAAAAAGAAAGAUGUAGUAGUUAGAUCAAGUGUAGAAGCAGAGUAUCGA